rnacentral:rRNA from 1 species
ACUCCUACGGGAGGCAGCAGUGGGGAAUCUUGCGCAAUGGGCGAAAGCCUGACGCAGCAACGCCGCGUGAGUGAAGAAGGCCUUCGGGUCGUAAAGCUCUGUCGAGAGGGAAGAAUGCCCGGAUUUAUCCGGGAGAGACGGUACCUUUCAAGAAAGCACCGGCUAACUCCGUGCCAGCAGCCGCGGUAAUACGGAGGGUGCAAGCGUUGUUCGGAAUCAUUGGGCGUAAAGGGCGCGCAGGCGGCCUAGAAAGUCCGGCGUGAAAUCCCAGGGCUCAACCCUGGAACUGCGUUGGAAACUAUUAGGCUUGAGUAUGGGAGAGGUCCGUGGAAUUCCAGGUGUAGGGGUGAAAUCCGUAGAGAUCUGGAGGAACACCGGCGGCGAAAGCGACGGACUGGACCAAUACUGACGCUGAGGCGCGAAAGCGUGGGGAGCAAACAGGAUUAGAUACCCCGGUAGUCC